rnacentral:rRNA from 1 species
CAGUAGCGGCGAGCGAACGGGGAGCAGCCCAGAGCCUGAAUCAGUGUGUGUGUUAGUGGAAGCGUCUGGAAAGGCGUGCGAUACAGGGUGACAGCCCCGUACACAAAAAUGCACAUGCUGUGAGCUCGAUGAGUAGGGCGGGACACGUGGUAUCCUGUCUGAAUAUGGGGGGACCAUCCUCCAAGGCUAAAUACUCCUGACUGACCGAUAGUGAACCAGUACCGUGAGGGAAAGGCGAAAAGAACCCCGGCGAGGGGAGUGAAAAAGAACCUGAAACCGUGUACGUACAAGCAGUGGGAGCACGCUUAGGCGUGUGACUGCGUACCUUUUGUAUAAUGGGUCAGCGACUUAUAUUCUGUAGCAAGGUUAACCGAAUAGGGGAGCCGAAGGGAAACCGAGUCUUAACUGGGCGUUAAGUUGCAGGGUAUAGACCCGAAACCCGGUGAUCUAGCCAUGGGCAGGUUGAAGGUUGGGUAACACUAACUGGAGGACCGAACCGACUAAUGUUGAAAAAUUAGCGGAUGACUUGUGGCUGGGGGUGAAAGGCCAAUCAAACCGGGAGAUAGCUGGUUCUCCCCGAAAGCU